AGCUACUAAGAGCGAAUGGUGGAUGCCUUGACUGGUAAAGGCGAUGAAGGACGUACUAGACUGCGAUAAGCUACGGGGAGCUGUCAAGAAGCUUUGAUCCGUAGAUUUCCGAAUGGGGCAACCCAAUGUAUAGAGAUAUACAUUACCUAUAUAGGAGCGAACGAGGGGAAUUGAAACAUCUUAGUACUCUCAGGAAAAGAAAUCAAUAGAGAUUGCGUCAGUAGCGGCGAGCGAAAGCGCAAGAGGGCAAACCCAGUGCUUGCACUGGGGGUUGUAGGACUGCAAUGUGCAAGAGGUAAGUUUAGCAGAACAUUCUGGAAAGUAUAACCAUAGAGGGUGAUAGUCCCGUAUGCGAAAAACAAACCUUAGCUAGCAGUAUCCUGAGUAGGGCGGGACACGAGGAAUCCUGUCUGAAUCCGGGUCGACCACGAUCCAACCCUAAAUACUAAUACCAGAUCGAUAGUGCACAAGUACCGUGAGGGAAAGGUGAAAAGAACUGAGGUGAUCAGAGUGAAAUAGAACCUGAAACCAUUUGCUUACAAUCAUUCAGAGCCCUAUGUAGCAAUACAGGGUGAUGGACUGCCUUUUGCAUAAUGAGCCUGCGAGUUGUGGUGUCUGGCAAGGUUAAGCAAACGCGAAGCCGUAGCGAAAGCGAGUCUGAAUAGGGCGCUUAGUCAGAUGCUGCAGACCCGAAACGAAGUGAUCUAUCCAUGAGCAAGUUGAAGCUAGUGUAAGAACUAGUGGAGGACUGAACCCAUAGGCGUUGAAAAGCCCCGGGAUGACUUGUGGAUAGGGGUGAAAGGCCAAUCAAACUUCGUGAUAGCUGGUUCUCUCCGAAAUAUAUUUAGGUAUAGCGUUGUGUCGUAAUAUAAGGGGGUAGAGCACUGAAUGGGCUAGGGCAUACACCAAUGUACCAAACCCUAUCAAACUCCGAAUACCUUAUAUGUAAUCACAGCAGUCAGGCGGCGAGUGAUAAAAUCCGUCGUCAAGAGGGAAACAACCCAGACUACCAGCUAAGGUCCCUAAGUCUUACUUAAGUGGAAAACGAUGUGAAGUUACUUAAACAACCAGGAGGUUGGCUUAGAAGCAGCCAUCCUUUAAAGAAAGCGUAAUAGCUCACUGGUCUAGUGAUUUUGCGCGGAAAAUAUAACGGGGCUAAAGUAAGUACCGAAGCUGUAGACUUAGUUUACUAAGUGGUAGGAGAGCGUUCUAUUUGCGUCGAAGGUAUACCGGUAAGGAGUGCUGGAGCGAAUAGAAGUGAGCAUGCAGGCAUGAGUAGCGAUAAUUAAUGUGAGAAUCAUUAACGCCGUAAACCCAAGGUUUCCUACGCGAUGCUCGUCAUCGUAGGGUUAGUCGGGUCCUAAGUCGAGUCCGAAAGGGGUAGACGAUGGCAAAUUGGUUAAUAUUCCAAUACCAACAUUAGUGUGCGAUGGAAUGACGCUUAGGGCUAAGGGGGCUAGCGGAUGGAAGUGCUAGUCUAAGGUCGUAGGAGGUUAUACAGGCAAAUCCGUAUAACAAUACUCCGAGAACUGAAAGGCUUUUUGAAGUCUUCGGAUGGAUAGAAGAACCCCUGAUGCCGUCGAGCCAAGAAAAGUUUCUAAGUUUAGCUAAUGUUGCCCGUACCGUAAACCGACACAGGUGGGUGGGAUGAGUAUUCUAAGGCGCGUGGAAGAACUCUCUUUAAGGAACUCUGCAAAAUAGCACCGUAUCUUCGGUAUAAGGUGUGGUUAGCUUUGUAUUAGGAUUUACUCCGAAAGCAAGGAAACUUACAACAAAGAGUCCCUCCCGACUGUUUACCAAAAACACAGCACUCUGCUAACUCGUAAGAGGAUGUAUAGGGUGUGACGCCUGCCCGGUGCUCGAAGGUUAAUUGAUGGGGUUAGCAUUAGCGAAGCUCUUGAUCGAAGCCCGAGUAAACGGCGGCCGUAACUAUAACGGUCCUAAGGUAGCGAAAUUCCUUGUCGGUUAAAUACCGACCUGCAUGAAUGGCGUAACGAGAUGGGAGCUGUCUCAAAGAGGGAUCCAGUGAAAUUGUAGUGGAGGUGAAAAUUCCUCCUACCCGCGGCAAGACGGAAAGACCCCGUGGACCUUUACUACAGCUUGACACUGCUACUUGGAUAAGAAUGUGCAGGAUAGGUGGGAGGCUUUGAGUAUAUGACGCCAGUUGUAUAUGAGCCAUUGUUGAGAUACCACUCUUUCUUAUUUGGGUAGCUAACCAGCUUGAGUUAUCCUC
rnacentral:rRNA from 1 species